rnacentral:rRNA from 1 species
GACGAACGCUGGCGGCGUGCCUAAUACAUGCAAGUAGAACGCACAGUUUAUACCGUAGCUUGCUACACCAUACACUGUGAGUUGCGAACGGGUGAGUAACGCGUAGGCAACCUGCCUGGUAGCGGGGGAUAACUAUUGGAAACGAUAGCUAAUACCGCAUAAUAUUGAUUAUUGCAUGAUAAUUGAUUGAAAGAUGCUAUUGCAUCACUACCAGAUGGACCUGCGUUGUAUUAGCUAGUAGGUGAGGUAACGGCUCACCUAGGCGACGAUACAUAGCCGACCUGAGAGGGUGAUCGGCCACACUGGGACUGAGACACGGCCCAGACUCCUACGGGAGGCAGCAGUAGGGAAUCUUCGGCAAUGGACGAAAGUCUGACCGAGCAACGCCGCGUGAGUGAAGAAGGUUUUCGGAUCGUAAAGCUCUGUUGUAAGAGAAGAACGGGUGUGAGAGUGGAAAGUUCACACUGUGACGGUAUCUUACCAGAAAGGGACGGCUAACUACGUG